rnacentral:rRNA from 1 species
CAGUCGCCGCGGGAAUACGUAGGGUCCGAGCGUUGUCCGGAAUUAUUGGGCGUAAAGGGCUCGUGGGCGGUUUGUCGCGUCGGGAGUGAAAACCAGCAGCUUAACUGCUGGCCUGCUUUCGAUACGGGCAGACUUGAGGCAUUCAGGGGAGAACGGAAUUCCUGGUGUAGCGGUGAAAUGCGCAGAUAUCAGGAGGAACACCGGUGGCGAAGGCGGUUCUCUGGGAAUGUUCUGACGCUGAGGGGCGAAAGUGUGGGGAGCGAACAGGAUUAGAUACCCGAGUAGUCCCUGUCUCUUAUAC